CCGCAUGUCCGGUCCGUUGGUGUCUGCAGCAGCAGAUGAAAAGGGAAUGCGUCAGCGGAGUCUCCGCCAAACGCAGCCGCCCCCGCGACCGUGACCGGAGAGGGUGCCCAAAGCCACUGGCCUGAUGGCCGGGAAGGCGGGACAUCCGACAGGGCCAAAGCCCUGACAUCCGCAAGCCGGGAGACCUGCCAACGCCCGAAGAUGAAA
rnacentral:ncRNA from 2 species